UUUCAUCCUGAAAUUUGGAAAGUCGUUC
rnacentral:piRNA from 1 species